rnacentral:rRNA from 1 species
UACGAAGGGGGCUAGCGUUGUUCGGAUUUACUGGGCGUAAAGCGCACGUAGGCGGACUAUUAAGUCAGGGGUGAAAUCCCGGGGCUCAACCCCGGAACUGCCUUUGAUACUGGUAGUCUUGAGUUCGAGAGAGGUGAGUGGAAUUCCGAGUGUAGAGGUGAAAUUCGUAGAUAUUCGCAAGAACACCAGUGGCGAAGGCGGCUCACUGGCCCGAUACUGACGCUGAGGUGCGAAAGCGUGGGGAGCAAACAGGG